rnacentral:rRNA from 1 species
UACGAAGGGGGCUAGCGUUGCUCGGAAUCACUGGGCGUAAAGCGCACGUAGGCGGAUUGCUAAGUCAGGGGUGAAAUCCUGGAGCUCAACUCCAGAACUGCCUUUGAUACUGUUCGUCUUGAGUCCGGGAGAGGUGAGUGGAACUGCGAGUGUAGAGGUGAAAUUCGUAGAUAUUCGCAAGAACACCAGUGGCGAAGGCGGCUCACUGGCCCGGAACUGACGCUGAGACGCGAAAGCGUGGGGAGCAAACAGG